CAAUAGCGUAUAUUAAAGUUGUUGCAGUUAAAAAGCUCGUAGUUGGAUUUCUGGGAGGGUGCCAAUGUCCGCCGACGUGCGUGCGCAGCGGCGCCCUUCCAUCCUUCUGUUAACGCCUCUUGGGAUUCAUUUCCUGGUGGCGGGCUCAGAUAUUUUACCUUGAGAAAAUUAGAGUGUUUCAGGCAGGCUAGGCCGGAAUACAUUAGCAUGGAAUAAUAGAAUAGGACUACGGUCUCUUUGUUGGUUUGAGGGACUGCAGUAAUGAUUAAUAGGGAUAGUUGGGGGCAUUAGUAUUUAAUUGUCAGAGGUGGAAUUCUCGGAUUUGUUAAAGACUAACUUAUGCGAAAGCAUUUGCCAAGGAUGUUUUCAUUGAUCAAGAACGAAAGUUAGGGGAUCGAAGAUGAUCAGAUACCGU
rnacentral:rRNA from 1 species